CUGCCCGCGCACCGGGAAUACGCUCUGGAAACGGAGAACAAAUCCCGAUGUACAGGAAGGAGGCAUCUCUUUCUGUGAAACAUCCUUUAGGGGAUGGGGCGCGGAUGGACCUGCGGUGCAUUAGUUGGUUGGCGGGGUAAAGGCCCACCAAGACGAUGAUGCAUAGCCGGCCUGAGAGGGCGGACGGCCACAUUGGGACUGAGACACGGCCCAGACUCCUGCGGGAGGCAGCAGUAGGGAAUUUUCGUCAAUGGGCGCAAGCCUGAACGAGCGAUGCCGCGUGAGUGAAGAAGGCCUUCGGGUCGUAAAGCUCUGUUGCGGGGGAAAAAAGGCAGCAUCAGGAAAUGGGUGCUGACUGAUGGUGCCCCGCCAGAAAGUCACGGCUAACUACGUGCCAGCAGCCGCGGUAAUACGUAGGUGGCGAGCGUUAUCCGGAAUGAUUGGGCGUAAAGGGUGCGCAGGCGGUCCUGCAAGUCUGGAGUGAAACGCAUGAGCUCAACUCAUGCAUGGCUUUGGAAACUGGAGGACUGGAGAGCAGGAGAGGGCGGUGGAACUCCAUGUGUAGCGGUAAAAUGCGUAGAUAUAUGGAAGAACACCAGUGGCGAAGGCGGCCGCCUGGCCUGUUGCUGACGCUGAGGCACGAAAGCGUGGGGAGCAAAUAGGAUUAGAUACCCUAGUAGUCCACGCCGUCCAC
rnacentral:rRNA from 1 species